rnacentral:misc_RNA from 1 species
GAGUGGAAGAAGAAGGAGAAAAAAGGGUCGGUGGGGCUGUUGGAAGAGAUGCAGAGGAUGGAGAAAUUGGCUCUGAAUUUGAUCGAAUUUGCUGAUGGGUUUCAGUUUCCAGGGGAGACAGAGAAGAUGGAGGAGGUGGCAGCUCAGGUGGCGGAGCUUGCAGAAAUUUUCCGGAAAAUGGGAGAAGGUUUGGUGCCUUUGCAGGCGCAGAUUAGAGAGGUGUUUCAUAGAAUUGUAAGGAGCAGAACAGAGGUUCUUGAAGUGUUGGAUCAUGCAGCCAAAAUUUCUCAACCUACGACAUAACUCGGCGCAAAUAAUUUGCUAAAUUUUGUGCAAAAUCAUAGUCUUGAACUUUGAAAGUUUGAAAAUUUCAAAUUGUUCAUGGGUGUAUGAACAUGUCCAUGUAGAAC